CAACGAGAUAUGGGUUGUAGUGUAUGGGGGGAUAGUGGCUGUUGUUUGUGGAGGUAUAGGGACUGUACUGUAUGUGGUAGAAAGGGUCUGUGGUGAGGGAAUAAGGGCUGUGAUGAAGGAAUAUGGGCUGUUGUAUUUGUGGGUGAUAUGUACUGCAAUGUAUGCAGAAGAAACUAGGCUGCAUUGUGUGUGGGGGGAUAUGACUGUAAUGGGUGGUAGGAGCUGUGAUAGGAGGGAUAGUGGCUUUGAUGGGGAGCGAUAGGGGCUGUGAUGGGUGGAUAGGGACUGUG